CGACCGGCGCACGGUGAGUAACACGUAUCCAACCUGCCGUCUACUCUUGGCCAGCCUUCUGAAAGGAAGAUUAAUCCAGGAUGGCAUCAUGAGUUCACAUGUCCGCAUGAUUAAAGGUAUUUUCCGGUAGACGAUGGGGAUGCGUUCCAUUAGUUUGUUGGGGGGGUAACGGCCCACCAAGACUACGAUGGAUAGGGGUUCUGAGAGGAAGGUCCCCCACAUUGGAACUGAGACACGGUCCAA
rnacentral:rRNA from 1 species